GGAGGGAAGGAGCAGGGAGGGUGGGGUGAGCCCUGGAGCCAGACCUGAGGCCUGGCAGGAGUAACUGGCUGGAGAAGUUUCUUUGGUGACAGCUGAUUGAAGGGGCCCCUGGGGCGAGCUGCACCUAGCCAAAUCUGAACCCUGGACACCUGAGUUCUUCCCCCAGUUUGUGAGCUACAGGAAUACCAAGUCCAGGGGCAGAAGUGAGAACUCCCAGGUCCUGGCUGGGUGCACACCAAAGAGUAGUGUUUCUGGUGACCACAGUACUCAGCUACUCUAUUCCAUCUUCCUCUUCCUGGGUUUGAACCUUGGGAUCAUAGCUCGCAGAAGAGGGGUCCAGCACUGGAAUGCAGUCACACCCAAAGAACAGAUGCUGGCUUGGCUCCUGACAGACAAAAGUCAUUCCUUAUGCCCUGAAUGGUCUGCAUCAUGUCUAGCCAUCACAGUGCAUUGUCACUAUGGCCUUUCUUCCCUCUGUUGUUUUCCCAAAUUGUCUUUCCUGACAGAGCAGAACACUGUGGCCCCUUGGACCCGAUGAGCAGUUUUUCAGGUUUACAGAGAACAGAGGUGUAAGAAGAGGCAUUAUAGAGUGCAUGUUGAAAACUCCAGGACAACCCCCUCCCACCGAGUGUUAGUCUAAGUUCAUCAGUACCAUGGGAUGGAAACAGAACUCUAAGGUAACUGGAUAGAGAGGUUGCCCCCCUGGGUGCCUUAAUUAGAAGAUUAUGCCACCCUUAGUCUCCAUGGGCCAAUCAUGCUAGUGGCUCUAAUGGUUUAUUUAUAAUUUGUCUGGGAGGGUAGCAUGGGGCCAGAGUAAGGAGCAGGAGGCACAGAAGCAUAAAGACCACAAAAGCAACACACAAACAUACAUCUUGACCCUCUCUAAAGCUCAAGGAGAGAGGCAGGGACUUAACUUUUUCCUUGUGGUGUUAUCAGGGAGAGGCAGGAAGUAGGAGAAGCAAGUGAAUGUGUGAGUAGAACUGCAGGGAUAGAGUCAGAGGGAGUGUGGUGGACAGAGGGUAUAAGUAUUUUGAGCCACAGUCAAAAGGCUGUGACUAAGUACUUAUAAACUCUCUGACUGGUUCAUAUUCAUCAUUUACCGUGAUAAUGUGGUGUGUGUAUAUGUAUAUUCAUAUAUAUACACACAUACAUAUAUAUAUAUAUAUAUAUAUAUAUAUGUAUGUAUGUAUAUGUAUAUGGAAGGAUCUGGGGCAAAUGGGGAUACUUCAGAAGGGAAUUUGAGGCCCAGAGACAGGCUGAAUUCCCUAGAGAAAUGGGGAUAGAAGAAGAAGGCCUUACAAGUAUCUGGCAACUGUAGAAAGGAGAAACUUCCUGGAAAAGAGGUAUACCCACAUUAUGUUAUCUUAAAAACAGCUGCCACCUCCCUGACAUGGACCACAAAUUUCAUCAGAAUGACCAAGGGGAAGGUUUGGAUAAGUGAAUGGGACCCCAUCUUUUUAUUUUAUUUUAUUUUUGGCAGAACUGGGGGUUGAACCCAGGGGUGUUCUACUCUACCACUGAGCUACAUCCAUAACUCUUCUUUAUUUUUGAGUCAGGAUCUCCCUAAGUUGCCUAGACUGAGCCUCCUGCCUCUACCUUCCCUCCCAAGUAGCUAUGAUUACAGGUGUGCAUCACUGCACCUGGUGAAUGGGGCCCAAUUUUGAUAUCAAGAGAAUUGAAUGAGGGAGACUAUGGAAGCCUGCAGAAUGGGGGAAAUGGCUAGCAUACCACAAUGAACACAGCAAAAGGAUGGUCCAGGGAGAUGAAGUGAAUAUUGGAAAAAGAAAACAUGAACUUCAAAGGUGACAAUGGGAGCUUUUGGCCAGGCUUGAGGUUUUUGAUGCUGAAAAAUCUAGUUUCAAUGCUGGUGGUUACAUAGAGUCAGGCAGAAGCUAGUGAGAAGACUUGUUAGUAUUACUGGGACCCUGCUUGGGUGCAAGGGACUGUUGUUUCCCAGCUUUCUUCACUCUCUUGAACUCAGUUUUCUUUGCCAGUUUGCUAGUCCCUUGGAUCCCAGAAAGGGGAGAGUCAUCUGGCCAGUCCCUUUCUUUAGGGAAGUGAGACAAACAGUGCAAUGCAGAGAUUGUGUGGUCCUUCCUAUUUACUUCUGAUCAGGAAGGGGCCUUCCUACAAGGACAUUUCAGUUUCUUUUCAACCUGUCCUAUUUCCAUAGGUCUUGAGACUGUAUGAAAAAGGUAGAUGAGAAUAGAGGGAGACAGUCUCUGACUUGGGGGUCAGGGCAGCAAGGUGGUGGUGUGGGAACAUUGGGCCUAAUUCUCUGGGGCUUAGGAAGAGGGAAAGGUGACAGGCUGAUGGUGCCAGAUCCUCUGCGGGCCAAAGAGUUCUAAGAUUGAGUUCCUUUAACUUUCUAGGGCCAAUUUCCUGGAUGGCUGGAAGAAAGGUGCAUUUAGGGUUGGAGAUGGUAUAUGUUGGAAGGCCUCCUCUUGGUAUAACUGAGUAAGGAAGUCUUCCUGAAAUGUUGACCAGUACAUGUGCAGGAGAAAAUGGUGAGCAUUACACCACUAAGGUUUUAGUUUUUGUUGUUUUAAGAUGGACAAGAGGGCCUAAAACAGGAUGAGGAUGAGGGCAGUUGGAGGUAUUAUGAGAAUUCAGGUUAUGAAAUGGGAAACUGAAAAAUAUGGGAUAUUGAGGGGGAGCAGAAUUUGGUGUUCAAGAAUGAGGGUAGUAGCUGGGUGCGGUGGCACAUGACUGUAAUCCCAGCACUCAGGAGGCUGAGGCAGAAAGAUCAAGAGUUCAAAGCCAACCUCACCAAAAGUGAGGUGCUAAGCAACUCAGUGAGACCCUGUCUCUAAAUAAAAUAUAAAAUAAGGCUGGG
rnacentral:lncRNA from 1 species